UACGGAGGAUCCAAGCGUUAUCCGGAAUCAUUGGGUUUAAAGGGUCCGUAGGCGGGAUAAUAAGUCAGCGGUGAAAGUCUGUGGCUCAACCAUAGAAUUGCCAUUGAUACUGUUGUCCUUGAGUUACUGUGAAGUGGUUGGAAUACGUAGUGUAGCGGUGAAAUGCAUGGAUAUUACAUAGAAUACCGAUUGCGAAGGCAGAUCACUAAUAAUGUACUGACGCUGAGGGACGAAAGCGUAGGUAGCGAACAGG
rnacentral:misc_RNA from 1 species